rnacentral:rRNA from 1 species
UACAGAGGGCGCGAGCGUUGUUCGGAAUUAUUGGGCGUAAAGGGCGCGUAGGCGGCGCCACAAGUCACCUGUGAAAACUCUGGGCUCAACCCAGAGCCUGCAGGCGAAACUGUGGUGCUGGAGUAUGGGAGAGGUGCGUGGAAUUCCCGGUGUAGCGGUGAAAUGCGUAGAUAUCCGGAGGAACCCCCCUGGCGAAGGCGGCCCCCUGGGCCGCGCCUGACGCUGAGACGCGAAAGCGCGGGGAGCGAACCGG